rnacentral:rRNA from 1 species
UAAUACCUACGGGGGGCAGCAGUAGGGAAUCUUCGGCAAUGGACGGAAGUCUGACCGAGCAACGCCGCGUGAGUGAAGGAGGUUUUCGGAUCGUAAAGCUCUGUUGUAAGAGAAGAACGAGUGUGAGAGUGGAAAGUUCACACUGUGACGGUAUCUUACCAGAAAGGGACGGCUAACUACGUGCAAGCAGCCGCGGUAAUACGUAGGUCCCGAGCGUUGUCCGGAUUUAUUGGGCGUAAAGCGAGCGCAGGCGGUUAUAUGAGUCUGAAGU